rnacentral:misc_RNA from 1 species
AAUUCUCAAUCACUAAAAUCUUGUGUUGUUAGUGGAUUGGAGGUGGGGGUUUUUGUGGGUUUAUUUAAUAGAUCUGCUCCCCUUAAAAUCAUUAGCUGGAAUGCCUUUGCAAAACCAACUAUCAGUAUGAUAAUUAUCUACUCUGAUGUUGUUGUAAAAGGGGAUCUGCUUUCAAACUGUCGUUCAGACACUAUGAAUCA